AAUAAGUGCAGUAAUAAGUUUUCGUGUCUAAUUUUGGUCGUCCGUCUUAUUUUAAAUUUUUUUAUGAUUAGUAUUUUUAUUGUUAUUAGAUUAUAAAACAUGCAUAGUACUUUAUCCGUAACUAAUUUUUUUUUAGUUUUUACAAAAAAAAAUUUAAAUAAGACAAAUGAUUAAAGUUGGACACGAAAACUCAUAGCUGCACUUAUC
rfam:Oryza glaberrima chromosome 2 Oglab02_0209_10, whole genome shotgun sequence.